rnacentral:rRNA from 1 species
UACGUAGGCAGCGAGCGUUUGUUCGGAGUUACUGGGCGUAAAGGGUGUGUAGGCGGUUGCUUAAAGUUUGGUGUGAAAUCUCCCCGGCUCAACUGGGAGGGUGCGCCGAAUACUGAGUGACUCGAGUGCGGGAGAGGAGAGUGGAAUUCCUGGUGUAGCGGUGAAAUGCGCAGAUAUCAGGAAGAACACCCGUGGCGAAGGCGGCUCUCUGGAACGCAACUGACGCUGAGACGCGAAAGCGUGGGGAGCAAACAGG